CGCCUCCGUCUCUAUUCUCGUUCUCAACUCUGAACUUCCCCCCCUCCCUCCCUCUCUAUCUCUCUCUAUCUCUGCAACUGCAAACUACAAAAUCUACAAGAAUCAGAAGUUCAAAACCGAUAUAUUUCAGUUUAUCUAUCUGCAAGAAUCAAAAGUUCAAAACCUAUUACCGGCAUAUCAUUUGAGAUUGUUCAAAAAAUCAAAACCCAUAUCUUUCAGUUUCCAUCUCCCGCUGUUCCAGUUCGGGUUCGCCGUUCGCAAGCUUCAGCGGCUGUCUCUCAACUCUCAAGCUUGCCCCCCUCUCUCUCUGCAACUGCUAACUUGUUUAGCAUUGGGCCUUAACAUUUAGCAAGAACAAGGUUCAAGAAACAUGCCUCCUCAAUCAUCAGGUCUCUUUUCUGAAAGAAGAGAGUUGAUGGAAAUGGGUGGAGUAGGCAAAAAGGCCUACCUUUCUUUUCUGUCAGCUCGGCUCGGGGAACUAUAAUAAGGACAAAGAAGGUUUGAAAUUAACUGAAAAUUCAAGGGUAAAGAUGACCCAUCUCCAGCUUCAGUAGACCUCUCCCCAGUCCCAGUUGCAGAAGUCGUCCAUUUUCCAGUUGUAGAAGUCGUCCCUUCUCCACCAUCUGAAACUUCUACUAACUGAAGGAGAUAAAAACUCCUCAGAUUCCUAGUCUGAAGGCGAAAGAACCAAGUCAGACUAUAAGGCUAAUUAUGAAGAUUUCCGAAAGGACAGGGAAGAUAUGAUGCUCAAGCUUAUAGUCUGAUUGCUGGUAGUGGGACUUGGUUCAUUGGGUUUACAAAUUGGAGUGUGGAUGACAUCUUAUAAUAGUGAAAAGGAUCAGAAUGCAAAAAUGAAUCUUCUGAUGAAGGAGUCCCUUCAAAAACAGGACACGAUGAUUGACAUCUACAAAGAAAUUGAGGUUUCUAUUGUUAAUCUAUACUUUAGUGGAAAUGUAUGCUUAAAUGAGUAUAUGUUACCAACAGGCAUGUAACUUAGCGGUAUCAGGUCCCUAGUCAGAGGUUCGAACCUCAGUGGAGGCAUAUGUGUGUGGGUACCAACUAGGGAAAAGAAAAAAGAAAAAAAAAAGUGUAUAUGUUAUUUUUUAUUCUUCUUUUCUUUUAAGCAAUAGGAAGGAGGUCGUUGUUCCGUAGAAUUUUUGGCUUAAGGUAUUGUUUGCUAUCUCUAUUUAUUUAUGAUUGUUCAAAAAUCUGGGCGUUGACAGCUUAUGUGAAACUAAUGGUAUGUAUUUCUUUUGGCCUGAAAUAUAUCUUGAACCAUUUUAUAAACAUUCUAUUGAUUUCUACCUUAAAGAUUGCUUGCAAAUAUAGUUUAAAGGUUGUUUGUGUGA